UGGCUCAGGAUGAACGCUAGCGACAGGCUUAACACAUGCAAGUCGAGGGGCAGCGCGGGGUAGCAAUACCUUUGGCGGCGACCGGCGCACUGGUGAGUAACACGUAUGCGACCUGCCCCGGACAGGGGGAUAACCCGGGAAACUGGGCCUAAUACCCCAUAAGCUUGGAGGAUGCAUGUCCUCAAAGUGAAAGAUCCGUCGGUCCGGGAUGGGCAUGCGGCGCAUUAGCUUGUUGGCGGGCAACGGCCCACCAAGGCGACGAUGCGUAGGGGUUCUGAGAGGAAGGUCCCCCACACUGGUACUGAGACACGGACCAGACUCCUACGGGAGGCAGCAGUGAGGAAUAUUGGUCAAUGGGCGAUGGCCUGAACCAGCCAAGUCGCGUGCGGGAUGAAGGCCCUCCGGGUCGUAAACCGCUUUAGCCGGGGAGUAACGUGCGGCACGUGUGCCGUAGUGAGAGUACCCGGAGAAUAAGCAUCGGCUAACUCCGUGCC
rnacentral:rRNA from 1 species